AGGUCAAUGUCACUCUUUUAUGCUUAUAACAUCAUGUGUUGUUAUAAUUUCGUCUUUUUGUUUACUCUAAAAUGUUACUCUUUUUAUUUUCCAAGAUUAUUUUGAAGUGAUAACUAACUUGUUCGUCGGAGUGUUUGUAGGAAGGUAUGUACGCUCUUGUCAUGAAUAUAUCAAAAUGAGUCUUGAGGUCAUUACAGGGAGAGCCAGCCGUUGAGGUUACAAAUGAAGGUGUUGAUGCUGCAGGGCAUACAAUUGGUACAUCUUUGGAGGUCGUGUUCAAACUUAGGAAGGUUCUCAACCCCAAGAGUGUGAUCAAACCAACACCACUAGCUAAAGAUUAUUUUGAGAAUAACAUCUAUCGAAUAAAUUUCAGAUGAAAGACCUUGGUAAACUCCUAUAUUUUUUGGGUAUUGAGGUAGUCCAAUCUAAAGAUGAUAUGGUAAUUUCUCCGGGGAAAUAUGCUAUGGAUACUUUUGAAGAUACAAGUUUGUAGAUAAUGCAUUCAUAGAAAGUAAGUCAC